CCUACGGGUGGCAGCAGUGGGGGAUAUUGCACAAUGGGGGAAACCCUGAUGCAGCGACGCCGCGUGGGUGAAGAAGGGCCUCGGCGCGUAAAGCCCUGUCAGCAGGGAAGAAAAUGACGGUACCUGAAGAAGAAGCCACGGCUAACUACGUGCCAGCAGCCGCGGUAAUACGUAGGGGGCAAGCGUUAUCCGGAUUUACUGGGGGUAAAGGGGGCGCAGACGGCGAUGCAAGCCAGGCGUGAAAGCCCGGGGCCCAACCCCGGGACUGCUCUUGGAACUGCGUGGCGAGAGUGCAGGAGGGGCAGGCGGAAUUCCUGGUGUAGCGGUGAAAUGCGUAGAUAUCAGGAGGAACACCGGUGGCGAAGGCGGCCUGCUGGACUGCAACUGACGUUGAGGCCCGAAAGCGUGGGGAGCAAACAGGAUUAGAUACCCUAGUAGUC
rnacentral:rRNA from 1 species